UUCCCUUCACUUAAAACCAGUAAGAAACCAAAACCAAAUCUCUCUUUAUAUCAAAAGUCCCACAAAAAAUGGCUUCUUUUCUUUCACAUACUUCAUCAGCAUCACCCUUCAGCACAGAUUAUAAAUAUAUAACUACCCUUAAAUUCCAUCAUUUAUCCCCCAAAAUAUACAGAUUUAAGGGCUAUGCACAAAAUAAAGAAAAGAGUAAUAAUAGUUCAGUCACAACACAGAAAAAAGAUAAAGGGGAACCUGAAAAUGUGGUGCUUAAAGUAGCAUGGUAUGCUUCUGAACUUCUGGGUAUUGCUGCUUCUGUUCUCCGAUCACCGUCUUCCGAUGUUGUCGAGGAAUGUUCCAGCCUUCCUUGUGAUGAUAAUGGUGCUGUUGAUCGAGCUGUUGUGGUUCAAACCAUCAAACAAGACUUUCAAAGGUCUUACUUUGUCACAGGAAAUCUGACGCUUGGUGCGUAUGAAGUCGAAUGUGAAUUUGCUGAUCCAGCAGGCUCAUUCAAAGGGCUUAAAAGAUUUAAGAGGAAUUGUACCAACUUUGGCUCCCUUAUUACAAAAUCUGACAUGAAACUUACAAAAUGGGAAGACUUUGAGGACAAGGGCAUUGGACAUUGGCGUUUUAGCUGUAUCUUGUCUUUCCCUUGGAAGCCUAUCCUUUCUGCUACAGGUUAUACAGAGUAUUUUUUUGAUUCAGAAUCUGGUAAGGUUUGCCGGUAAGUUGCAAACAAAUAUGAUGGAGUAUAGUUUGUUUUUUAAUUUCUACGUCAUAACUCUAAGCUUUCGACUUUUUGCGUGGGACUCAAAUAUGUUUUUUAUAUCCGCAUGACCCGAGCUUUUGGUACCAACAAAAGGCAUGUGGAGCAUUGGAAUGUUCCAAAGAUGGCACUGCUAAAGCAAAUAUUGAAACCAAGUAGGCGAAUUACUAGCUAGGCAAAUCUCGAGUUAUAUACUUGAUGUAUCUUUGUAAUGUUGUAUUACUUAUAUUUAGACGAGUUUAGAAAAUAUAUAUGUAUUUGAUUUAACUUAAGUCAUAAAAAGAUUGAAAGUAAGACAAAAUGGAUGUUAAUUCACUGUUAAUUAAGCAUCGGGUCGUCUUUAAGUCAA